CUCUGUGGUUAGUGGAAAGAGUGUGUUAUCCGAAAGCAGAGAGGAAGGCAUGAAUACUGAGUAGACAAAAAUAGUCCCUACAGACUAUUAUAACUAGAAAGAAGUUGUUACGCCUAAGCUCUUACUUGAAGUGCAUGCUGCUGUUACUACUGCCACUGAACGGCUGCCUGUGUCACCUCUAGGGCUGAAUGUUUAUCAGCUCAAACCAAUAUUUAAAGCUCUACUAGACUGUGCCAUAAUACCAUAAACCUUUGAUGUUGAAGAAUCAACUGUAAACUGAGAAUCAUUUUAUGUUCUGCAUUAUGUUCUUGCAUUAAUAGGACUGAGAAAAUGAGAGAUGGGAGGUUGGCUGUCUCCUUGAACUGAAGAUCACAGCUGUUGUCAAGAUCUUUCAGAGUCUCCUCUCUGGCUUCCUGUAUCUUCUCCCUUCCCCAGACCUUCAGGCUGAGCGUUGGUAACACCUUCCCACCAUUGCUAGCUCUAGCAAAUUGAACACCUCCUGGCAUUUCCCUGCACCAUGCCUGUACUUCUAAAACCUCCCUUUUAAAAAUGGCUAUGUUUCAACAUUUUUAUCCAUUGGACUUUGACAAAUAGAUUGAGUAAAUUUAAAGCUGUCAAACUGGAAGCACCGGCCCCACUGGGCGGGGAGAACCACCUACAAUCACAUGACCCAUCGUAGUACUGACUAGGAUGGAGGUGGGAGGAUGUUGGAGAAGGAACUGCCUUCCCUUGUAUCCAGAGAUCCACUGAGACCUGUCAAGGAUCUCAACUAGAGACACUAGAAGGGCAGCUUUCUCUGGGUUACCCAGCUGUCAUAUUCAAUAACAUUUUACAGUUUCCAGAUUUGUAGCUAUUUCUAAACAACUUGCUUCUGAUGGCACCACCUUUAAGAUGGAACAUCUGAGAUAUAGUACCUUCAAAAAGGUGGUUGAACAGUGCAUUUAGCAUUUUAGUUAUGAGUAAUCAUCUAGAGAGUUUUUAGGACUUUUGUGGAUAUGAGGUGUGUCCUUGGAGUAGAGGCUAA